rnacentral:misc_RNA from 1 species
GAGAAACUACUAGAAUCACGGAACAUUCUACAUUUAUAUCACUAUUUUUUAUCAUAUUUACAUUGUAUAAUCAAUGAAAAAAAACUUUUGUUGUUCAGCAUACAGAUAUCUAGUCAGCUGUGGAAUGAUCUUAUUCAGAAGCAAGUUUUGCAUUUUAUCAUUAAUGUGGUUUUGUUGAAUAGCUUAAGCUGCAUGUUGAGAUAAAUCUGUGUGCAGUGUUUUUGACUCUUAAGAUUUGUGAGUUACAUGUACAUUUGUUCAUUGUAUCCUAGAUUCAGACCGACAGUUUUACUAACAAAUUGAUAUUGUGAAAUCAGAGUUGUGGUGUUCGAAAUUCAAGAUAUUUAUCAUAAAAUAAUGUAAUUUUUAAUCUUUCUGAAAAGAAUUGUGUAAAGAUGUUAAGAUUCCAAAAGCAAUAAUCAUUGUAUAUGAAUUGGGUUUUUUAUAUGUUUUUUUAAGCAUCCUUAUUCUGAUUAUGAAUUUGCUAUGUUAAUUAUUUGUAAUUGAAAAUGUUCAUGUUGUGAAGAAAUGAUAUGAUGAAAAGGAAGAAAAAAAAAGAACACAUGAAAAAGAAAAAAUGAAACAUGAGAAGAAAGAAAAAAAAAAGAUAUGGUGUGAUUGAAUAUGAUGCAAUGUUACAAAAAUCUUGAGAAUAAAUAGAAAACAAAAGAUGUGGUAUGAAAACCACCAC